rnacentral:rRNA from 1 species
GACGAACGCUGGCGGCGUGCUUAACACAUGCAAGUCGAACGGAAAGGCCCUGCUUUUGUGGGGUGCUCGAGUGGCGAACGGGUGAGUAACACGUGAGUAACCUGCCCUUGACUUUGGGAUAACUUCAGGAAACUGGGGCUAAUACCGGAUAGGAGCUCCUGCUGCAUGGUGGGGGUUGGAAAGUUUCGGCGGUUGGGGAUGGACUCGCGGCUUAUCAGCUUGUUGGUGGGGUAGUGGCCUACCAAGGCUUUGACGGGUAGCCGGCCUGAGAGGGUGACCGGCCACAUUGGGACUGAGAUACGGCCCAGACCCCUACGGGAGGCAGCAGUGGGGAAUAUUGCACAAUGGGCGGAAGCCUGAUGCAGCAACGCCGCGUGCGGGAUGACGGCCUUCGGGUUGUAAACCGCUUUCGCCUGUGACGAAGCGUGAGUGACGGUAAUGGGUAAAGAAGCUCCGGCUAACUACGUG